rnacentral:tRNA from 1 species
GACUAGGUGGCUGAGGGAAAGCGUUGGUCUCUUAAACCAAUUUACGGUAAUAGACCCCUAGUUA